ACUGUGCCCAGAGUCAAUGGUCAUACCAACAGUAAGUGCUGAAGCUGGGAUCCAGCUACAAGUGCUUCAUAAGAACCGCCACGUGUUUUGAGUAUCAACACCCAGAUAUGACAAGAGCCUCAUCCACAGAAGCUCACUCUGAUGGAAACUUUUCCAUCUUCAAGGUACAGAUGAAGUCCCAUCUUUUCUGUGAAGUCUUAUGGCCAUCUAAGUCCACCAGUGCAAGCCCCGGUUCCCCUGAGAUCUAUUGGAGAGCAAAUUUCUACAGGCAGAAAAUCUAAGCAGAGAGGGCUCUUCGCAGCCGCGUGCAGCUGGG